AGGAAUGUAAUUUUAACUGGAUAAAACACUCGACUCCAAAUCGAGAAGAUGCGGGUUCAAAUCCUACCAUUCCUG
rnacentral:tRNA from 1 species